rnacentral:lncRNA from 1 species
CCGACCUUUCCUGUCCUUGACACUUCUUCUCAUAGAUGUUGCAAAUAUUGAGGAGCGAAGCUUUUUUUGGAUGAGUGUCAAAAAAAACUCAUUAAUUUUAUUUAAUUGCAUGUCAAAAUCAUGAUUUAUAUAUUGGGUUAAAGAAAAUAUUGUUAAAAUUAAUACUUUUUUUACUUAAAAAUUUAACAUGGUAUAUAAAGGUUUUCCAGAGAAACAGAAUCAGUAGGAUCGAUAGAUAGAUAUAGAUAUAUUAGAGGAUUUAUUUUUGAAUUGUCUCACAUGAUUAUGGGGGCUAAGAAGUCUCAUGACAUGCCAUCUGCAAGCUGAAGCACCAGGGAAGCUGGUGGGGUAAUUCGGUCCGAAUCUGAAGGCCUGAGAAGCAGGAGAGUUGAUAGUGCAACUCUCAAUCCGAGGGCAAAGGCCUAAGAAACUGGGGGGCUGCUGUUGUAAGUUCCAGUAUCUGAAGGCCUCUUAGCCUGGAGUUCUGAUGUCUGAGGGCAGGAGAAGGUGGAUGUCCCAGCCCCAGAAGAGAGAGUGAAUUCUUCCUUUGCCUCUUUUGUUCUCUCUGGGCCCUCGGUGAAUUGGUGAUGCCUGCCUACGUUGGUGAGGAUGUAUCCUUUUUACUCAGUCUACUGAUUCAACUGCUAAUCUCUUCUGGAAACACUCUCACAGACAUUCCCAGAAAUAAUGUUUCAGCAGCUAUCUGGUUAUCCCUUAACCCAGCCAAGAUGACACAUAAAAUUAACCACCACACAUGGCUAUCAGAAAAUCUAGAAUUACUGGCUGGGUGUGGUGGCUCACGCCUGUAACCCAGCACUAUGUGAGGCCGAGGUGGGCGGAUCACGAAGUCAGGAGAUCGAGACCAUCUUGGCUAACACAGUGAAACCCUGUCUCUACUAAAAAUACAAAAAAUUAGCUGGGUGUGGUGGCAUGUGCCUGUAGUCCCAGCUACUUGGGAGGCUAAGGCAGGGGAAUUGCUUGAACGCGGGAGGCAGAGGUUGCAGUGAGCUGAGAUUGUGCCAUUGCACUCCUGGGUGACAGAGUGAGAC